GGAGGAACAAAACUUAUCCAUGUUUUAAAAUUUUCUGAAUUUAAAUAACAUUCAGUUAAAAUUUUUGGACCCAACGAUAAAUGUUGGACCCUAUUAUUUAGCCCAUUAGUUUAAAUAAUAAAUGGUCAAAUGCGAAAACGAAAAAAAUUUUUAGGUUUUAAUAAAAAACCUUGUUACCCAAUAAGAUUUUUUUGGACCAAGUUAAACACGUUUUGCUAUUCAAUUUGGAGCUUAAUUCAAUAUGCCUCUGUCACUCUUAAAAAAUUAUCAUUUCUCCCUUUAUUAAACUAUUACUUAUUAUUUAUUUAUUCUUAAUUAGAAAACGUGGGGAAAGACUCCAAUGCCCUUAAUGAAAUCACUUAACUACAUGAUCCAACCUAAACUAUCCGAUCCACCCAAUCCCAGUUGGGUCAAACUCGGGUCUAAAGCUAAAGGCCGUGUUUUGCCUCCAACUCUCUCUCUCUCUCUCUCUCUCUCUCUCUCUCUCUCUCGAGAAGAGAAAAAUGGCCUCCAUGGUUUCUCUCUCGCUCUACAAACCGGAACAACAAUUGAAAUCGAACUCGUGCCGCAAGUUUAAUCUGACUCCGCUGCAUCUACGGCGUUUCUCUUGUUGUUCAACUCGCGAGAUUUCUCUCAAAUCGCGUUACGGAGUGGCUCUUCCUGUUACCUGUAAGCAUCGACGAAGUGUUGAGAUUUUUACUCGACGUGGAGCGACUUUCCUGCUGAGGAAAAGGAAGAGCUUUGGGGAGUGGGUUGAAGCCGAGUGCUUUCAAUUGAGUAACUCCGGAUUUGACCAUCUUACGAUCACUGAUGCUCGGAAUGGGGAUGACUUUUGACUCUCGAUUAUCUUCGCUGGCUUUUCCUUGCAGUACUCAGCUAGCUUUGGUCUUGCGACGUUUUUUUUAUGCGAGUAAAAGGCAAGUAAUGACGACACGGGUUGUUACUUUAUGGUGCAGAGCACCAGAGCUUCUCCACGGUGCUGUUGAGUAUGGUAUCGGCAUUGACUUAUGGAGCGAUGGUUGCAUUUAGCAGAGUUAUUAUCUGGUAGACCGAUCAUGCCAGGUCGUAAUGAGGUUGAUCAGUUGCAUAGGAUAUACAAGUUAUGUGGAUCACCUUAUGCAGAGUAUUGGAAAAAGAUUAGGCUUCCUUCUAAUCUUAAGCAUGCUAAUCAGAUGGCUAAACCACAGUUUAAAAGAAAAGUAAGAGAGGAUUACCAAUAUUUCUCUCCUGAGGCGCUUUCUCUUGAUGAGUGAUACAAGUUUUGUUUCAGCUUCCUGUAUCAAACAAUGGAUCAAAGUUGUUCCAAGCAAUCAUGCAGGAUCACAGUCCGUUUUAUCUCGUGAUUCCAUGAACUUUUUACUGAAACCUUCAAUGCAGAGCCAGUAAAGAUUUUGCAGAGACGAUGCUCUGUUUUGUGGCAUGAGAACCAUUACAUGGAAUCUAACCCAAACUUUGUGUCAUUUUCUUUUUCCCUAGUCAGCUGUCAGCAUUUGUUCCCAAUCUGCCUGAAUCUGUAGAAAGUCUAAAAGUUUAAAACAUGGAGAUUGAUAAAAACACAACAAACUUUACUUCUAUUAUUUUAUUAUUUGGUCUC